rnacentral:lncRNA from 1 species
AUUUCCCUACAAGUGAAGUAAGAAGAACUUACUUUCCCUGGCUAGCUCUCAUGUGGAGUUAGCAACCCACCCCCAAAUGUCAACCCAAAGGGAUGGCUUUCACUGAGGUCAGCUUCCAGGCCCCAGACACUGUGUGGUUUGUUUGCUUUCUCCUGUUGGGAAUUGUGCUGCCAGCAGUGAACACUGCCCUGCGGGAACAAAACCCAGAUUCUGUCUCCUAGUCACUGCAUUUACAGGCAUCUCCAGCUCACGGGAGACUAGAUGCUGCUGCUGGACACUAUGCUCGGAAACCUCAGCUCUAAUGGAGUAAACACAGCUUCGCUGUCUGGAGGGCAGUGUCCUACUGACACCAAGAAGCCUGAAAGUGAAUGAAUGGUAGGCCGUUCAAACUGGCCUCGUGUAAAAACAAUUAGAAAUAAAUUACUUGUAUCGUAUAAGAUUUGGCCAUUUUAAGUUGAGUACACCAGUAAGCAGCAGCCCUCCAUGGCCUCUGCAUCACCUCCUGCCUCUAGGUUUCUGUCCUGCUUGAGUUCCUGUCCUGGCUUCCUUCAAUGAUGGACUGGCUCAAAAGAAAACAAUCUAAGGAUGCCAAUGAGGCAAAAAGAAUAAACUUCGGCUUCUAUGUGAGAUCAUAUAUAAUCAUUAACUCAAAACUAGGCAUGGACCUAAAUAUAUUCAUUGAACAUUAGACUACCUACAUUCAUGGAAGAAAGUAGACUUCGUCUUUGUGACACUCUCAUUCGUUAAGAGUCAGACAUGACACCACAAGUAAAAAGAAUAGAAGAAAACCUGUACUCUGUCAAAAUUAAAACCUUUGUGCAUUAAAGGCAUUACUAAGAAAAUAAAACUAUAGGAUGAACAACGUGCAGAUCCCAUCUGAUAAGAGACUUCUAUCUAAAAACGAAGAAUGCUUAUACUUCAAGAAAAAGAAAAAAAAACCACCUAAUUUAAAGAUAGGUAAUCUGUUGUGAUCAUAAAAAGAGAAAGAGCUAUAAGAAUAUGUUCUGGCAGGGUGUGGGGGAAGGGGGUGCCUCAGUGGGCCCAUGCCAAGGCAUCCCUUCCCCCUGAGGGACCAGACACACACACCAGUAUAGUAUAGAAUAGAGCUUAUUUAGGGCAUGGGGAGGGGAGUUAAGAGAGUAGCAGAGGCAGAGAAAGGCAGAGAGGAGAGAGCAGAGAAAUAGAGGCUGGUCAUGACCAUGUUGGGGGGCGGGUAAGGGAACAGGGCAAGAGGGGAAGCAAGGGGCAAGAGGCAAGGGAGGAGUAAGAGAGAGAGGAGGGGGGCAAGCAGCCACUUUUAUAGUGCCAGGCCUGCCUGACCCUUGCCAGGUAACUGUGGGGGUAGAGUCCAGACAGAAUACCAACCGAAUUGAAUGGACAUUUCUCAGAUCAAGAGAGUUAUGAGCAGCCCUGAAAACAAUCAGGAGGGGACCCUAAUCAAACCAUAGUGGAGUGUGGCCCAGCAGCUAUACGGCCUAGGUAUUUGUAAAGGUAUUUGGAGUCAGAGUGUUAUUCUGGGAGCAUGAGGAUGGGAGACAGAAGGAGACGGAACUUUUACAGAGUCACGUCAGAUGCUAGGCACUCAGCAUAUCGCUUCGGUUCCAGCAAAACGAGGAAGGCAAACCGCUUUCUCCAACCUGUAAUUUCUUCCCAAGAUUCAAAGUUGACUUGAAGAAUACAGCCCUAUCCUUACAGAAACCUGGGUUCGGAUCCGGCCUGGGCUACUACAGUUACCUGAAGAGAGGAGCACCUGCUAAUUUCAAGGGUUGCUCUAAGGAAGGGAUGAUGGGGCACAGAUCCAGCAUCUUCAACAGUGCCACCAGAAACUGGUGACUCAGCAACUUUAACACUGCACUGAAGAGAGGUAGGAGAAUUGCACAGCCAGAUUGCUGCAGAAUCCCUGGGAGAGAGGCCAAGAGAGCAGGGAGCUUGUUUUGCCCUUCACAGGUUUUUCUCCCAAAAGUCCUAUCUUUUCACUGCAAAAUUAUAGCCUAUUUUUAAUGACAAAUAUGUAAAUAACAAUUUAGACAAUAAGAAAUGGAAAAGGAGCAGAAAAUGUUUUCCUUCUAUUUACUAUCUACCCCCAUAGCCCUAAUCCUCCUCCCCACUCUCUACACACACAUACACACACACACACACACACACACACACACACACAAUUUCUGUUUUCUUUCUCUAGUUUCUAGGAACCCAAUAGUUGCGUGUACCUCACUUUCUCAGUGGGCUGGGGCAGAUGGAUGUCAAAGGACCAGUCCUCACUUUCUGGAAGCAGGUCUUCUGUACUAGACACUGGCUUUAGUACCAGAAUUUCUAGCUGGCCCGACAAUUGCCCUUAAAGGCAAAUGACCAUAAUAGUAGCGGAGGCACACCCCUGAAGCAAACUGCUGCCAAGAACCAAAGCUGGGCUGGGCAGAUGGACACUCCUGCACUGAUGCCCAGGGCAUCAAGGCCAGGCCACGGCCAUCUUCUCAUGUCAAAGACAAGGCUGGGGAUCUGUCCACCCUAUCAGCUUAAAAUCUAACUCUUUCAAAACACUCCUCUAAGAACUGAGUUUGCAAAACAAGUUGAAAGGCAACAAAACACCAG